CCCUGAAGGGUCAGAAAUGUUGCUGGUGCAUCUCUGCCUAAGGACCUUAAUCCUUGUAACCUAUGCCUCUGAUAGAUCAGGCUGGCUGAGAUUGACCAGUAAGUUCAAGAGCUACUAGAGAAGGACACACCUAUAUCUCUGCAGUGAACUGAGCCCGGAGUCUCCUGGGAUCUACGCAGGCACUGGGAUGGAGAGCCCCAUGGACAGGAGCUUCAGGAGACCCAUCUCCUGAACCAGCAAAAUGACUUCAAGCCGAGCAGCUCACAGCCAUGGGUAGGCAGCUGUAGGACCAUCAGCAUAAGGUGACCCAGCCACUCAGGAAAUGCAAGAGUGGCUGUCUAUGCCUCUUCCAGGAGCUUCUGUAGCAGGGUCUGUGGCUUUUCAAAUAAAAUGUCACACUAUGAGAUGAAGGAAGUAAUCCAGGUAGUCUGUAUGCUCUUUGCCUUGACAGUAAGGUCAGCUGGUGGUAGUCUUUGCGCAUGUGGCAAAAUUCAGCAGCAUUUCAAACUCUGGAACUGGAGCUGCAGGAGCUGCCUUGCAAAGCCUGUAGGAUAGAGGUUAGACAGUGGGAAGCUGAGGGCACUGCUACAGCAUUUGAGGGUUUGGGUCAAACACAGUGGCUAAAUAGUUCCCCAAAUGUUAUCAGCAGUGAAAUAAUCAGUAGGCUUGACUAUUUAAAUGUCUUUUUGGGGUGGUGGUAGUGCUCAGAGUGGGUUUUUACUAUCCGUAGGCUCACAUUUCUCGGAUGGUUUCAGGCUACUUGCAGAGUUGGGUGCUCUUUUGAUGUGUGCUGUGUUCACAUUUUCCAGAUCGUUUAUAAAUUUUGGAUGAGAAAAAUAAGGGUUUAAGGUGCUGCAGCCAUGUUUCUAUGGCACACCAAGGAUGAUGCUCCACAGCUCACCUUGUCAGGAGGUCUACAGUACUUGGCUGUUCCCCUUCAGGUUUCUGCAUUGUGUUGCUUCUCUAACACUUUCCAUGUAGUUUCUUAGGUUAGUAUGUAAUGCUUUGUUCCACAUUCAUGUUUGCAGAUCCUGUAAUAAUAUCAGUGGAUUUCGUUUAAUCCCUCCUUUUCACCUAGUUUGAGAGCUAAUCCCACUUUCUGGCAGCCUGUUAUUGCAUGCUAAAGCUGGCGCUGCAAAGCAUAUGUUUUCUUAGUUGGGGCUUGCUCUAUGGCUGGUGAGAUUUGGUAUAUGUGUAUGAUACUGUGUCAGUAAAAGAAC